rnacentral:lncRNA from 1 species
AGACUCCUGCCCCUGCCACGAGAACACACCCUUUCCAGUUUGCUGGAGAAAUAUAAGAGAAGUCCAGUGAAAGAGAGCUGAGUUUCCCCAAUGAUGCCAUCAAGAUGAACUAACUACAGUUAACCAGCCAGCUGAUAGCAGAUGCAUGAGUGAGCCCAGCUGAGAGCAGGUUGUGCAAGCAUGGCACGUGCAUCUGUUUGGCUUGUGGUGAGGCCUCAGGAAGCUUACAGUCAUGGUGGAAGGCAAAGAGGGAGCCAGUACAUCACGUGAACUCGUAGAGUGAGAACUCAUUCACUACCAUGAAGACAACACCAAGCCAUUCCUGAGGUGAAACUGAAAUUGGCUGUAUCAUCUGAAACUUCAUCUGUGAAGUCCCUGGUGGUUUCCUAGAUGACUACACAGUUGAGUUGCCUCUGAUUGGAAAAGCAGGC